rnacentral:rRNA from 1 species
GAUGAACGCUGGCGGCGUGCCUAAUACAUGCAAGUCGAGCGAAGCGGGGACGGGUGAGUACCACGUGGAUAACCUCCUAUAAGACUGGGAUAACUUCGGGAAACCGGAGAUAAACCGGCUACUUAUAGAUCGAUACGCGCUGCAUUAGCUAGUUGGUAAGGUAACGGCUUACCAAGUCAACGAUGCAUAGCCGACCUAAGAGGGUGAUCGGCCACACUGGGACUGAGAAACGGGCCAGACUCCUACGGGAGGUAGCAGUGGGUAAUCUUCCGCAAUGGGCGCAAGCCUGACGGAGCAACGCCGCGUGCGUGAUGAAGGUCUUCGGGUCGUAAAACUCUUUUAUUAGGGAGGCGGUACCUAAUCAGAAAGCCACGGCUAACUACGUGCCAGCAGCCGCGGUAAUUC